AUAAUCCUUGGAAACGAGGACUAAUACCGGAUAGGUUACAAAUUCGCAUGAAUUUGUAAUUAAAGGUUAGAAACACUGGUGGAUGGGCUUAUGGUGCAUUAGCUAGUUGGUGAGGUAACGGCCCACCAAGGCGAUGAUGCAUAGCCGGGCUGAGAGGCUGAACGGCCACAUUGGGACUGAGACACGGCCCAGACUCCUACGGGAGGCAGCAGUAGGGAAUUUUCGGCAAUGGGGGAAACCCUGACCGAGCAACGCCGCGUGAGUGAUGAAGGUCUUCGGAUUGUAAAGCUCUGUUGUAAGGGAAGAAUGAAUUGGAUAGAAUCCGAUUGUGACGGUACCUUACCAGAAAGCUACGGCUAACUACGUGCCAGCAGCCGCGGUAAUACGUAGGUAGCGAGCGUUAUCCGGAAUUAUUGGGCGUAAAGGGUGCGUAGGCGGCUUGUUAAGUUUAAGGUGAAAGAAUGGGGCUUAACCCCAUAAAGCCUUAGAUACUGGCAAGCUAGAGUACUGGAGAGGGUAGUGGAAUUCCAUGUGUAGCGGUAAAAUGCGUAGAUAUAUGGAGGAACACCGGUGGCGAAGGCGGCUACCUAGACAGAGACUAACGCUGAGGCACGAAAGCGUGGGGAGCAAAUAGGAUUAGAUACCCUAGUAGUCCACGCCGUAAACGAUGAAUGCUAGAUAUCGGGGCAACUCGGUGUCGAAACUAACGCGAUAAGCAUUCCGCCUGUGGAGUAUGCACGCAAGUGUGAAACAUAAAGGAAUUGACGGGGGCCCGCACAAGCGGUGGAGUAUGUGGUUUAAUUCGACGCAACGCGAAGAACCUUACCAGGCCUUGACAUCCCUUGCAAAACUCUAGAGAUAGAGCAGAGGUUAUCAAGGUGACAGGUGGUGCAUGGUUGUCGUCAGCUCGUGUCGUGAGAUGUUGGGUUAAGUCCCGCAACGAGCGCAACCCUUGUCUUCAGUUACCAUCAUUAAGUUGGGGACUCUGGAGAGACUGCCGGUGAUAAACCGGAGGAAGGUGGGGAUGACGUCAAAUCAUCAUGCCCCUUAUGGCCUGGGCUACACACGUACUACAAUGGCUGUUACAAC
rnacentral:rRNA from 1 species